rnacentral:rRNA from 1 species
AGAGUUGAUCAUGGCUCAGAACGAACGCUGGCGGCAUGCCUAACACAUGCAAGUCGAACGAAGCCUUCGGGCUUAGUGGCGCACGGGUGCGUAACGCGUGGGAAUCUGCCCUUGGGUUCGGAAUAACAGUUAGAAAUGACUGCUAAUACCGAAUGAUGUCUUCGGACCAAAGAUUUAUCGCCCAAGGAUGAGCCCGCGUCGGAUUAGCUAGUUGGUGAGGUAAAGGCUCACCAAGGCGACGAUCCGUAGCUGGUCUGAGAGGAUGAUCAGCCACACUGGGACUGAGACACGGCCCAGACUCCUACGGGAGGCAGCAGUGGGGAAUAUUGGACAAUGGGCGAAAGCCUGAUCCAGCAAUGCCGCGUGAGUGAUGGAGGCCUUAGGGUUGUAAAGCUCUUUUACCCGGGAUGAUAAUGACAGUACCGGGAGAAUAAGCCCCGGCUAACUCCGUG